CCUACGGGGGGCUGCAGUGAGGAAUAUUGGUCAAUGGACGAGAGUCUGAACCAGCCAAGUAGCGUGAAGGAUGACUGCCCUAUGGAUUGUAAACUUCUUUUAUAUGGGAAUAAAAUGUUCCACGUGUGGGAGUUUGUAUGUACCAUAUGAAUAAGGAUCGGCUAACUCCGUGCCAGCAGCCGCGGUAAUACGGAGGAUCCGAGCGUUAUCCGGAUUUAUUGGGUUUAAAGGGAGCGUAGGUGGAUUGUUAAGUCAGGUGUGAAAGUUUGGGGCUCAACCGUAGAAUUGCAGUUGAAACUGGCAGUCUUGAGUACAGUAGAGGUGGGCGGAAUGCGUGGUGUAGCGGUGAAAUGCUUAGAUAUCACGAAGAACUCCGAUUGCGAAGGCAGCUCACUGGACUGCAACUGACACUGAGGCUCGAAAGUGUGGGUAUCAAACAGGAUUAGAUACCCCUGUAGUC
rnacentral:rRNA from 1 species